CCUCUAAAAAUUAAUGCAGUUUCUUGAUUACGGUCGUAGGUUGGGGAAGUAGGUGCGAAUCCUACACAGUGCCGCUACGGUAAUCCGCCCAUGAGGUGGAAAGUCCGAUGGCCAACCCUGCAUGAAUAGAAUUUU
rfam:Candidatus Giovannonibacteria bacterium RIFCSPHIGHO2_12_FTLL_43_15 rifcsphigho2_12_scaffold_2293, whole genome shotgun sequence.